rnacentral:tRNA from 1 species
GUUUUAAUAAUUUAACAAAAAUAUUGGUCUUGUAAAUCAAAAAUAAGGAACUACCUUUUAAAACU